CAGUCGCCACGGGAAUACGGAGGGGGCUAGCGUUGUUCGGAAUUACUGGGCGUAAAGCGCACGUAGGCGGCUUUGUAAGUCAGAGGUGAAAGCCCGGGGCUCAACCCCGGAAUUGCCUUUGAGACUGCAUCGCUUGAAUCCAGGAGAGGUGAGUGGAAUUCCGAGUGUAGAGGUGAAAUUCGUAGAUAUUCGGAAGAACACCAGUGGCGAAGGCGGCUCACUGGACUGGUAUUGACGCUGAGGUGCGAAAGCGUGGGGAGCAAACAGGAUUAGAUACCCGCGUAGUCCCUGUCUCUUAUAC
rnacentral:rRNA from 1 species